rnacentral:rRNA from 1 species
UACGUAGGGGGCGAGCGUUGUCCGGAGUACUGGGCGUAAAGCGUGCGCAGGCGGUGAUGUAAGACAGGUGUGAAAUCCCCGGGCUUAACCUGGGAACUGCAUUUGUGACUGCAUCGCUGGAGUGCGGCAGAGGGGGAUGGAAUUCCGCGUGUAGCAGUGAAAUGCGUAGAUAUGCGGAGGAACACCGAUGGCGAAGGCAAUCCCCUGGGCCUGCACUGACGCUCAUGCACGAAAGCGUGGGGAGCAAACAGG